AAUGGGCGCAACCCUGAUCCAGCCAUGCCGCGUGUGUGAAGAAGGCCUUCGGGUUGUAAAGCACUUUUGUUGGGGAAGAAACCGGCCGGGUUAAUACCCUGGUUGAAUGACGGUACCCAAAGAAUAAGCACCGGCUAACUUCGUGCCAGCAGCCGCGGUAAUACGAAGGGUGCAAGCGUUACUCGGAAUUACUGGGCGUAAAGCGUGCGUAGGCGGUUUGUUAAGUCUGCUGUGAAAGCCCUGGGCUCAACCUGGCAACUGCAGUGGAUACUGGCGAGCUAGAGUGUGUCAGAGGAUGGUGGAAUUCCCGGUGUAGCGGUGAAAUGCGUAGAGAUCGGGAGGAACACCAGUGGCGAAGGCGGCCAUCUGGGACAACACUGACGCUGAGGCACGAAAGCGUGGGGAGCAAA
rnacentral:rRNA from 1 species